rnacentral:rRNA from 1 species
AUGCAAGUCGAACGAACCUUCGGGUUAGUGGGCAGACGGGUGAGUAACGCGUGGAUAAUGUGCCUCUUUGCUGGGGAUACCGUUUCGAAAGGAACGUUAAUACCGAAUGUGCUGGUCGGGUGGCAUCACUUGACUAGUAAACUGUUAGGGUGAAGAGAGCAGUCCGCGUUCUAUCAGCUAGUUGGUGAGGUAACGGCUCACCAAGGCUACGACGGAUAACUGGUCUGAGAGGAUGAUCAGUCACACUGGAACUGAGACACGGUCCAGACUCC